rnacentral:rRNA from 1 species
AUACGUAGGGGGCGAGCGUUGUCCGGAAUGACUGGGCGUAAAGGGCGUGUAGGCGGCCGAUUAAGUCUGGAGUGAAAGUCCUGCUUUCAAGGUGGGAAUUGCUUUGGAGACUGGUUGGCUUGAGUGCGGAAGAGGUAAGUGGAAUUCCCAGUGUAGCGGUGAAAUGCGUAGAGAUUGGGAGGAACACCAGUGGCGAAGGCGACUUACUGGGCCGUAACUGACGCUGAGGCGCGAAAGCGUGGGGAGCGAACAGGAUUAGAUACCCUGGUAGUCCACGCUGUAAACGAUGAAUGCUAGGUGUAGGGGGUAUCGACCCCUCCUGUGCCGGAGUAAACGCAAUAGGCAUUCCGCCUGGGGAGUACGGCCGCAAGGUUGAAACUCAAAGGAAUUGACGGGG